GCCUCUGUAGCUCAGUUGGUAGAGCAGUGGACUGAAAAUCCACGUGUCAGCGGUUCAAUUCCGCUUGGAGGCA
rfam:Spirochaetes bacterium GWB1_27_13 gwb1_scaffold_4769, whole genome shotgun sequence.